rnacentral:lncRNA from 1 species
CCCCUCCUCCUCCAAACCUCCCUCUCCUCCCAGCUCAGCCCCUUUGCCUCUGCUCCUGAGCUCUGCCCUCCGGCUGGAGCCACAGGUUUAUCUGGAGGCAAGGAGGAGGGAGGGAUCUGCUGGAUCCUGGAGCAGAAAGGGUUUAGCUGCCCAGGAGGGACGAAGAGAGGCAGAGCCUGGGCACCAUGGCUGGAUUCUCCACUCCCGGGCUUCUGUUCCUGUGGCUAUUAGCCACAGCAUCGGCUCAGAGAGUAGGACCCCAAGGCCCUCCUGGACCACGAGGACCCCCUGGACCAUCUGGCAAGGACGGGAUAGAUGGAGAGCCGGGCCCUCCUGGUCUGCCAGGCCCACCAGGGCCAAAAGGUGCACCAGGGAAGCCUGGAGCAGCUGGUGAAGCCGGAUUGCCUGGCCUUCCUGGAGUGGAUGUGAGUAUUUUCUCAUCUUCUCUUAGACCUUUUGAGUAGUUCACACAGGGCAGGGGUGCUUUCCCAAAGCAUCUCAUUGACCUUUCUCUGUGUCUGCUGGAGAAGCA